AUUGAACGCUGGCGGAAUGCUUUACACAUGCAAGUCGAACGGCAGCACGGACUUCGGUCUGGUGGCGAGUGGCGAACGGGUGAGUAAUAUAUCGGAACGUGCCCAGUCGUGGGGGAUAACGUAGUGAAAAUUACGCUAAUACCGCAUACGAUCUAUGGAUGAAAGCGGGGGACCUUUGGGCCUCGCGCGAUUGGAGCGGCCGAUAUCAGAUUAGGUAGUUGGUGGGGUAAAGGCUCACCAAGCCAACGAUCUGUAGCUGGUCUGAGAGGACGACCAGCCACACUGGGACUGAGACACGGCCCAGACUCCUACGGGAGGCAGCAGUGGGGAAUUUUGGACAAUGGACGCAAGUCUGAUCCAGCCAUUCCGCGUGCAGGACGAAGGCCUUCGGGUUGUAAACUGCUUUUGUACAGAACGAAAAGGUUUCUAUUAAUACUAGGAGCUCAUGACGGUACUGUAAGAAUAAGCACCGGCUAACUACGUGCCAGCAGCCGCGGUAA
rnacentral:rRNA from 1 species